GCCCGGAUGGUCUAGUGGUAUGAUUCGCGCUUAGGGAUAUAACCCAAAGCAUCAAUUGCGCGAGGUCCCCGGUUCGAUCCCGGGUUCGGGCC